UACGUAGGGUGCGAGCGUUGUCCGGAAUUAUUGGGCGUAAAGAGCUCGUAGGCGGUCUGUCGCGUCUGCUGUGAAAACCCGAGGCUCAACCUCGGGCCUGCAGUGGGUACGGGCAGACUAGAGUGCGGUAGGGGAGAAUGGAACUCCUAGUGUAGCGGUGGAAUGCGCAGAUAUCAGGAGGAACACCGGUGGCGAAGGCGGGUCUCUGGGCCGUUACUGACGCUGAGGAGCGAAAGCGUGGGGAGCGAACAGG
rnacentral:rRNA from 1 species